rnacentral:lncRNA from 10 species
ACACCUAUUGGCCCCCGCGGCGUCCCGUCGCCGCGUCGCGUUGCUGGCCCGUCGGAGCGACGCCGCUCGGGUCAGUCGGCGGCCGGACUGGGAAGAUGGACGCAGCUACUCUGACCUACGACACUCUCCGGUUUGCUGAGUUUGAAGAUUUUCCUGAGACCUCAGAGCCCGUUUGGAUACUGGGUAGAAAAUACAGCAUUUUCACAGAAAAGGACGAGAUCUUGUCUGAUGUGGCAUCUAGACUUUGGUUUACAUACAGGAAAAACUUUCCAGCCAUUGCCAUUCAUCAUUGUUGUAUACCCUGGAGCUGGAAGGAGAUGGGGACUGGUUCUCAGCCUUGCCUCUCACCGGCGGAGAACUGAGGCCGGAGGUGAGGGCCGGGCUGGCGUCAUGCUUCCUCAGUGCCAGGAGGUUGUCGGGACAUUUCACUCUCCA